GGCCUGAUAGUUCAGUGGUAGAAUUCUUGCUUUGGGUAUGGCUCACAUGUAAGAGGUCUCCGGUUCGAUCCCGGAUUAGGCCC